UGAUCCCCGAGCUCGAACUCCCGGAUGAAAACCGCAUCUCCCCUCAUCACAUCCUUGGCCUCGGUGGGAUCCACAGCCGCGGCGGCGGAGGAAGUGGAAGAACUCCACAUGAUCGACUCUUUUUUGGUCCCACUCCCAGCACAAUUCAGCUAAACGCACCACACUGUGUUGCUGAUGCUGCUGAUGCUACAGAUGCUGUGGCUUCACGGACGCUGCUGUGUAUCACUGUCCCACACAUCACAAUGAAACCUAAAGGCAGCCCAGCGUCUGGGCAUCGAACCCCAACCCUCGAUCGUCUGCUGUGACGAGUGACAGCUCUGCUGCACUGCAGUGAUUCCUCCAUGGACGCACGGCUCCGUCCCCACAUGGAGACGCGCAGUGCACAUCUCUGCGCAGCUGGAACCUCCCAGCAUCCGCGGGAGUGUCGGUGGAAGCACGGGAGACGGUGGCAGCGGUUCAUGAUGAUGAAGAUGAUGAAGAUGAUGAAGCUGAGUCUGGUCCUUUGUUGUCCCUGGACCCUCCCCUUAAUAAAACGCAUCUGUUUUUUAUGUGCUUUUAUUUUGAAAUCAUCAUUAUUAUUAUUAUUUUUCUAAUAGUUAUUUAUUAUUUUAUUGGUUAACUGUCGUGACGUCGUGACGUCCAACAGUCAUACUGUCAUCCGUAUAAAGGUGUGGGUGACUGUCUUUGUUGUUGCGGCUCCUCCACAACCAUCACUCCGCCGAACAGCAGAACUAGUUUGAACUGGAAGAAACCUGCUAUCGAUAAGGCGCUGCGUCCACCCCCACUCCCUCCUAUACUUUAAGGUUUCCCUGCCUCCUCCCCUUUAUCCCACUCACAGACCUCCCUAGGCGAGGAAGACGAGGAACAGAAAGUGAAGGUGGAGGAGGAGGUGCACAUAUGUGCUCCUCACCCCUGUCCAGCGGAGAAGAUGGAUUGGCUGUGCAGCACCUCUGCAGAAAGUGCAGUCAGUCUGUCUGAGUGUCUGACUACACAGGGUGGAGGUUGGCUUUGCGCAUGCGCACUACAUCCCUAUGCCUGCCUGCCGGCGGUGUUGCCUUCCGGUACCGUCGAUGAUUAUACAACAAUGAAACAGCACGUUAUCGCCAAGGUAUCAGGGCAGUUAUAGGCAAAUCCAAAGGCUGGUCCGCGACCCAAUGCGUACUUCCUGUGCCAUUUUCCUUCUUGUGGCCUAAAGAUCACAUCUAACCGUCUGCCUCAUUACUGUGACCUUUGACUCCAUUCAGCUACCAGUUGAUCCCAGUUGGACUCACAGGUACAACCCACACUACUGCAGGAAAGGUUAGGGUAAUUUAAGGCAGCUUUGUCUACAUUACCCCAGAAGAACGAAUGCAGAAGCAAAGUAAAGCCAGUGAUGCCUUCACUGACCACUGAAACUGGUGGAUUGUACUACUGCACCCCCUUUAACUAAACAAACCAGGGGUCACAAUCUGAGCUCCCUGGGUGCUGCUGAAGGGUACUGCUCCCCAGUAAUGAGUAAAGAUGAUUAUUCAUUAUUAUUGUUGUAGUCCCAUGGUGCAGUGGUUCAAACUCCAGAGGCACCACAUGCUUGGCACAUACAGGAGGCGGACCCUUGAACCAGAUCUGCUGACAACACAAGAAUUUCCCCAGUAUGGGACCAAUAAAGUUCAAAUAAUAAUAAUAACAAUAAUUAUUAUUAUUAAAAAGCAUACAUAUAGAACAAACAUCACCCUCAGCUGAACCAAUUUACUCGACUCAAAGACAGUGAAACAUUAUUUUUUCUGCUGUAAAAGGCAAACUCCUGCCCCUGAUCAAAACAAACUGGGAAGUAAAGUCAGGUCUGUCACUAAGUUACUGAAUAAAAACAAUAAAUCCCAAAACAUAUUUCUACUUUGUACACAGACAUUUUGCUGUGUACAAAGUACUAUAUGUCUAAGAGUGAUUUGUAUUCUUAUACAACAGGAAUGAACAAAUAAUGACACAAAAUUAAAGGAAGUUUGAGAUUCGAUCAAAAUAAAACUAGUGAACGUAUAACAUAGUCAGAUGGAUGUCUCCCUCUAGCGGUCAUGUGCCACAUGCACAACAUUAUCUCUUCUUUUUAUAUAUUUGACAAUAUGAUAAAAUGAGACUGUUUUACAGUCCUCUUCACAGAACCCACCUUUAACCUGUCAGAAGGUUAACAACUAUCACAGGUGUCAUUCCUACCACAACUCUCAUCUCAUCACACUCAUCAUGUUUCUUUCUAUGUUUUUUU